ensembl:snRNA U1 U1 spliceosomal RNA
AUACUUACCUGGCAGGGGAGAUACGAUGAUCAUGAAGGUGGUUUUCCCAGGGCGAGGCUAAUCCUUUGCACUCUGGAUGUGCUGACCCCUGCAAUUUCCCCAAACGUGGGAAACUAGACUGCCUAGUUUGUGGUAGUAGGGAACUGUGUGCACGCUCUCCCCUG